CGAGAGGUCACUUCCGGGGCAUGACCGAGAAGCUGUGAAGGAAGUGACGUAGGGCACGGGCCGGUGGCGUGAUGGAGCAGCAGCAGCAGCAACAGCAGCAGCAGCAGCUCAGAAACCUGCGGGACUUCCUGUUGGUCUACAAUCGGAUGACGGAACUCUGCUUCCAGCGCUGCGUGCCCAGCCUGCACCACCGAGCUCUGGAUGCUGAGGAGGAGGCCUGUCUGCACAGCUGUGCUGGGAAGCUGAUCCAUUCCAAUCACCGCCUCAUGGCCGCUUACGUGCAGCUCAUGCCUGCCCUGGUACAGCGCCGCAUCGCAGACUACGAGGCUGCCUCAUCUGUGCCAGGUGUUGCUGCUGAACAGCCCGAAACCUCGCCAUCAGGGAGCUAGCCGUCCCCAACCCCGGGAAGGGAGGCACUGGAUGGACCCUCAAAUUUAAGGAACCAGUGGACCUUGGGCUGGGUGCAACCUGUAUAUAGAUGCUUCAGCCCUGGCAGCAGAGAAAUUGCCUUCAAUGUGUAGAAGAAAAACCUCAGCAUUCCCAGGCACCUGGUUAAAGCGACGUCUGUGGGUACAACUUUAAGACUGGUAAUAGCGACAAGAAGUUGGUUUCUGCCCAGAUGACAGAAAAUGGGAACUCUGUCUAGCUGUUCUUAAAUCUGUCUGACUUAAAUGGCUCACUUAGAGAUAUCUAAGGACAGCAGAUUAAGAAUCCACAGGGCUUUUAGGCGCUACCUCCUGGGAAGUCAGUAGCCUCAGACAGAGAUGAAACCUGUAAGAAUUCUGGAGUGUUCUGGAAAGUCAACCACUUCCUCAAGUUGUUACUUACUUAAUAUUUUCUGUCUUCUUAGGAUGAGCAGUAAAAUCUUUAAACAAAGAAGAUCUGUGUACUUGUCUUCAGGAGCAGUCAGAAAGGGGAAAACUUGUGGAACCAUAUUCUGCAAUACAGUCAGACUCGAGGAAUAAAAACCUAAGGGAGGGGCUUCCCUGGUGGCUCAGUGGUUGAGAAUCUGCCUGCCAAUGCAGGGGACACGGGUUCGAGCCCUGGUCUGGGAAGAUCCCACAUGCCGCGGAGCAAUUGGGCCCGUGAGCCACAAUUACUGAGUCUGCGUGUCUGGAGCCUGUGCUCCGCAACAAGAGAGGCCGCGAUGGUGAGAGGCCCGUGCACCGCGAUGAAGGGUGGCCCCCACUUGCCGCAACUAGAGAAAGCCCUCGCACAGAAACGAAGACCCAACACAGCCAUAAAUUAAAUAAAUAAAUAAAAUUAAAAAAAAAAAAAAACCUAAGGGAGAAGUAGAUGGUGAUGGUUAUGGGAAAAAAAGGAAGAAAGCCAAAUCUUCAGGACUUCUUGAAUGUUACCUUAAUGUCUCACUGCUUGUCUGUAAUCUCCUGAUUCCAUCUCUUCGUCUACCCCACAUUGUUCCCACUGUGCCUGUUCUGUGAUUUCUAAUUCCAACCUGUCUGUUCUUUCCUCAUUAUUUCCCUCCAUGUGGAAUUUACUUCUGUAUUCAGCAAUCUGAGUGGCCUAUCCAUCACUGAAUUUUCUUGCCAUUUUUGUGUCCUUUUUGUAUCAGCUGUUUUAACAUUUCUGUUCCUCUAUUCACACUGCUAGAGAAAAACAAAGCUGUGUAGUGAAUGCCACUAAAUAUUCAAGGUCUCCAACCUCAACCAAGCCCUCGUUACAAACAAGCAACCCUUUGUGGGUUCCUGGUCUGUUUGCUCUCCUAAUCACUACGGCAGUUAUUUUACACCUUCAUUGCUCUCCUUAAUCCCCUACCUCACCCUCGACUAUUCCCCAUCAGGUGACCAUGUUUGAUUUUUAAAAUGGAAGUAGAACUUCUUAGACAUUGGCUUCCACAAUCAUUAAAAAAAAAAAAAAAAAAAGAAGGAAAUAAAAGAAAACUUAUAACCAUCCACAAAGCAGAUGUUUUCUCUCCUGUACAGAUCAGGACGUUGAAAUUCUCUGGUAG